rnacentral:lncRNA from 1 species
AUCCAAUGUAAAAUUUUGUCCCAUAAAUUUGAAAACUGCUGGUGAAGUACAAAAGGCAUGGAUGUUGGAAUGAAGGCUGGAGCCAAAUCCUGGCUCGCCCCCUUACUAGUCACAUAGCAAAUCCUGGCUCACCCCUCACUAGUCACAUAUCAAAUCCUGUCUCACCCCUCACCAGUCACAUAUCAAAUCCUGCCUCACCCCCUUACUAGUCACAUAUCAAAUCCUGCCUCACCCCCUUACUAGUCACAUAUCAAAUCCUGGCUCACUCGUCACUAGUCACAUAUCAAAUCCUGGCUGGCUCACCCCUUACUAGCCACAUAUCAAAUCCUGGCUGACCCCUCACUAGGUACAUAUCGAAUCCUGGCUCACCCCUCACUAGUCACAUAUUGAAUCCUGGCUCACCCCUCACUAGUCACAUGUCAAAUCCUGGCUCACCCCUCACUAGUCACAUAUCAAAUCCUGGCUGACCCCUUACUAGUCACGUAUCGAAUCCUGGCUGACCCCCUGACUAGUCACGUAUCAAAUCCUGGCUGACCCCUUACUAGUCACAUAUCAAAUCCUGUCUCGCCCCUCACUAGUCACAUAUCAAAUCUUGGCUGACCCCUUACUAGUCACAUAUCGAAUCCUGGCUCGCCCCUCACUAGUCACAUAUCGAAUCCUGGCUCACCCCUCACUAGGCACAUAUCCUUGGGCCUGUCACUUACCCUCUUUGAGCCUCCAAGUCCCGUCCACUAAACGGAGCUUAACUUAGCAGGAAUUUCAUCCGAUGAGAUAAUGUAUCCAGGACACAGUAAAUACACAGUUACCUUUUCCUUCCCACCCCACCAACAUGUACAGAUAGCACUGAAUUGCCCAGGCCCUCUCAUGACCUAAGAUACCACAUGCAGGCCACACAGCAGCUGGACUGUGCAGCCAGGGCCCAGGGCUACCCCAACUGACCUCCACUCCCCUCAGCACCCUCCUCUGGCCUCCGAGCUAGCCAGCUGCUGAUCCAAAGCUCUGGAUCCUUUAGGGCUGUGCAAAGAUGUGACAGGCAUGGGUAUGAGGCUGUGGGGGACUCUGUGUGUAAACUGAUGUUUCUUUGUAUAGCAUUUGAUAUUCGGUGUGGGUAUGAGGUUGUGGGGGGCUCUGUGUGUAAACUGAUGUUUCUUUAUACAGCAUUUGAUAUUGGGUGUAGGUAUGAGGCUGUGGGGGACUCUGUGUAAACAGAUGUUUUCUUUAUAUAGCAUUUGAUAUGUAUUCCAUUUGCCUUCUAAAGCCCUCCAGUGGCUGCUCCAGUUGGUCCACUGCAGUGCUUGAUUUUGUGAAGAACCCUGUGGAAUGUGGUCUCUGGCAGCUGAGAAGUGCCUUCCUUUUCCAUCAGCGCAAGGCAAACACAUGAAGGGAGCUGGGGUUUCUUGCCACCAUUUCACCUGAGACCCCUGAAAGCUGCAGCCCACACUGCAAAUACUUUUCUUGGCCCUGGAAGUAGAGGGAAGUUUGUUGAGAAGCUGUUCUUAAUUUCUCACUUGUUGAAAAAUUACCCAAAACAGGAGGCAAGACAAUUGUGCAAAUUCCAUUUGAUGACUGAGCAGAAGCUCCCAGAACCCUCGGAUGAAGUGAGCAGCAUUCCCAGGAGGCGGGACGUUGGACGCUAUUUUUAUUUUAACAUCUCAUAUUGCCCCAGGUUCUCUGAGUCAACACCCUCAAAGGGGACAGACAGAAACAGAAAGGAACUUUUGGGCUGAUUAUAAGGAUUCAGCUGGCCUUGGGAAAAGUCUAAACAUCUUUGAAACACAAUUGGAAAGUAAUCCAAACAGCCUGUGAGCUCAGGCUUCCCAGUUAGAACUGCCUGUCCCAAGUUAAUCUUGCUUAGUUUUUUGGGGGGCAUCAUACCUAAAGAAGAAGAAGAAGAAAAAAGGCAAGAAUAAGUAAAAGGAAAAAAAAGAAAAAGAAAGGCAGGCAAGAAUUUUUGUCCCUGUCGGGAGAAGAGUCUGGUCUGUGGACACCAGACACCUAAGCAAGUUUCUUGGAAGGGAGGCUUUGGCAACCCUCGCAAUUCGCAUUCACAGGAGACAUGCCCUAUUUUCCACAACAGGCAGCCUCGCCACCAGCCCCAGGAGGGAGGAAGCUCUCUUCUCAGUGUCUGCAGGUUUAUCCCUAAAUGCUACGGAAGCAGCAGCUGCCAGGGGAAGGGGAUACUGCUCAGUCUUUUAAAACUCUCGUGUAAGCUUGAUAUUACAGUCAUGACCUAAAAAGGCAAAGACCAGAUAUGCGGAGCUCGCUGCGGAUGUAGCCUGCACACGGCCGCAGGAUUUGUCACCACUCAUCCAUGUUUAAAAAAGCCAGUCCAGGCAAGACAGCCACAGGCUCCCGCCCACAAGUGAUCACGAACACACUUCACACUGCCUUAUGGCAGAGCAAGUGCAUAUAGCCCGGUCUUGUGUGACCUUCACAGCCAAUAUUCAUUAUAAUCCCCUCUCACCAAUAUUGAAAAUGGAUGCUCAGGGGAUCAGUGACUCGCCUGGUGUCAAAGUGCCAGGUCCAAAUCAAGACCUGCAGAUCAAGUCUUCUGUGGAUGCUUCCAAUCCCAGGCUGCUUUCAUUUCUGAUGGACACGUCCUUCAUGUCCCACAGAUCCAUGGAUCGCCGGCAUCUUCCCUCCUGUUCACAUAGGUGAGAAGGAAGGAGCUGGCAGGCAAUGCCCUUCCAGGUGGGCUACAGGGAAGGUUCUUUUCUCAUUAGGUUGAUCCCUUGGCUUCCCUAGUAAAGUGGGGAGCUGUUGAAAAGAAAGAAUGGAAACGAGGUAAUGAUCCUGGAGCCUAAUGGAAGGGCCGCAGCCAGUUUUCCCCUGUUGAAAGGACACAGGACUUCCCGAAGAGUUUUCAUGGCAAAAACGUCCAACCAGCUACUAAGGAAACAGGAUGGACUCAUGCGUGCAGGAGAGAAAUCACUAAAGGACACAAGACUUCCCAAAGAGUUUUCAUGGCAAAACGUCCAUCCAGCUACUAAGGAAACAGGAUGGACUCAUGCGUGCAGGAGAGAAAUCACUUGGCCGUCACUGGAAGAGCAGGCUGUGAUGGGAACGGUAAGGACAGAGAAGGGAAGGUUCACAGGAUAGAAAUUCACAGGGCAAGUAGGGUUCCAAGUCAGAAGCAAAACACUUUACACAACAUUACAGACAGGCUCCACUGCAACUGGGCAGGUCAGGACUGGGCUCAGUCGGCCACAUUCUGCUCCCACGCGUUGCUUCCUUAGACUGUCAGGGAAGGGAGAAGGGCAGCCACCAGGAGCGGCCAGGGUCACGGACUUGCUACUUCUUUCCUAGAGUCUGUUCUGUUUUCUGUCAGCAGUAAGGAAAUACAUUCUAGCAAAUGACAUCCAGUAAUGCUUUAAUUAACUGCAGUAUUUUGUGCUCCAACAUGCAGGCAGAAAUCACUUCCAGAUGGAGAAAAUGAAAGCUAUUUACACAAAGAAGCAAUCCCUUUAUUUUAAGGAAAUUUAUAUCUCCCAAAGGUGUAGAACUUCGAGGGUCCAAGAGGCUAUUCUGAUGAAUACUAAAACAGGACUGGGAAUUUUUAUUUAAUAUAUAAAAUGUCAUCGUACCCUUCAUGUAGGCCAGCAUUUCAGGUGUCCAUGUUUCUAAGGCUUUUGCUUAAAUUGCCCAUUGGAGCUCUAUUUUAUUUUUAGGAAUCUGACUUGGAGUAGACGAGAAGUGUGAGACACUUGCUGUCACCCUCAAGCAGGCAGGUUGUUCUGAGUGCUCUUCCUAGCGAAGGAAUCCCAUUUCCAGCAGGUUAUUCCGAGUGCUCUUCCUAGCGAAGGAAUCCCAUUUCCAGCAGGUUAUUCCGAGUGCUCUUCCUAGGGAAGGAAUCUCAUUUCCAGCAGGUUAUUCCGAGUGCUCUUCCUAGGGAAGGAAUCCCAUUUCCAGCAGGUUAUUCCGAGUGCUCUUCCUAGCGAAGGAAUCCCAUUUCCAGCAGGUUAUUCCGAGUGCUCUUCCUAGCGAAGGAAUCCCAUUUCCAGCAGGUUAUUCCGAGUGCUCUUCCUAGCGAAGGAAUCUCAUUUCCAGCAGGUUAUUCCGAGUGCUCUUCCUAGCGAAGGAAUCCCAUUUCCAGCAGGUUAUUCCGAGUGCUCUUCCUAGCGAAGGAAUCUCAUUUCCAGCAGGUUAUUCCGAGUGCUCUUCCUAGCGAAGGAAUCCCAUUUCCAGCAGGUUAUUCCGAGUGCUCUUCCUAGGGAAGGAAUCUCAUUUCCAGCAGGUUAUUCCGAGUGCUCUUCCUAGCGAAGGAAUCCCAUUUCCAGCAGGUUAUUCCGAGUGCUCUUCCUAGCGAAGGAAUCCCAUUUCCAGCAGGUUAUUCCGAGUGCUCUUCCUAGCGAAGGAACCCCAUUUCCAGCAGGUUAUUCCGAGUGCUCUUCCUAGGGAAGGAACCCCAUUUCCAGCAGGUUAUUCCGAGUGCUCUUCCUAGGGAAGGAACCCCAUUUCCAGCAGGUUAUUCCGAGUGCUCUUCCUAGGUAAGGAAUCCCAUUUCCAGCAGGUUAUUCCGAGUGCUCUUCCUAGGGAAGGAACCCCAUUUCCAGCAGGUUAUUCCGAGUGCUCUUCCUAGAGAAGGAACCCCAUUUCCAGCUGUGCACAUGCAGCAUUUCCCCUGGCAUUCUUUCAACAGGGAACCAGGUCUCCUCAUCCGAUGGCAAUUCAGGAAGGGUUGGUGUCAUACCCUGCAUCGAGCAGCAGCCUCGGACCUGCCCCCACGCUCUGCGUGCCCUGUACUGGUCAUGCUGGUCUCAGCUUGUCUGCUCUCAGUCCUGUCUGAUCUGCACAGAGGAGCCACCCUAGACAUAAGAAAUCAGGCACCCCUUCUCGGGGGUGGGCAGAGCCCUGGGUACUGGCUCUUUGUUCUUCGAGAGAGGAAGGAGUGGCGGUAGUUAGCUUCAAUCCCUGAGCUGGGUUUGGAGAUCAGAACACCUUGUCCAUUGCGGCUCCUGUUUCAUUGUUAAGAGUCCACACAGGAUGUUCUCUGGCCUGGACACCGCUAAGCCAGCUUUCAGACAAGUCCCCUCAGUAAGAGCAGAGUGAACUCUUUAUUGAUUAUACAAAUUACCACUAUUUAUUUUAAACCCAAAGUGACUUCAAAGUUGUUUUUUGGUUUUUAAAGGGGCUACAGAAAAUGGACUGAGGGGAAGGAAUGGGCACAAUAUCUAGGUCUAGCUGAAUCACAGAGCUGUUAGCUGCUGCUUUCAUCCACAGGUACUCCUUUUACCUUAUUAUUUUUUAGAGAGUCUUGCUCCGUCACCCAGGCAGGAGUGCAAUGGCAUGAUCUCGGCUCACUGCAGCCUCUGCCUCCUGGGUUCAAGCGAUCCUCCUGCUUCAGCCUCCUGAGUAGCUGGGAUUACAGGCGCCCACCACCACGCCUGGCUAAUUUUGUAUUUUUAGUAAAGACAGGGUUUCACCAUGUCGGCCAGGCUGGUCUCGAACUCCUGACCUCACAUGAUCCACCUGCCUCGGCCUCCCAAAGUGCUGGGAUUACCAGUGUGAGCCACCAUGCCCGGCCUAUUUUUUAAUAGAGAUGGGGUCUCACUCUGUUGCCCAGGCUUGUCUUGAAGUCCUGGGCUCAAGCAAUCUUCCCACCUCAGCCUCUCAAAGCACUGGCAUUACAGGUGUGAUGCCACAGUACCCGGCCUAGGGUGCCCCUUUGAUACGUUAUUUUUGAAGUGAUGUUAAUAAAUAAAGCUUCUGCUUGGGGGUUGGUCAUCAAAACAAGAAGAAUCCUCAUCAGUAUGGAGAGAGCCCAAUCCUGGGCAUGGUCCCCACCACCACCAAAAGUCUUUUUUUUUUAACUGAGUCUCACUCUGUCUCCCAGGCUGGAGUGCAGUGGCGGGACCUCGGCUCACUGCAACCUCCGCCUCCCGGAUUCAACUGAUUCCCCUGCCUCAGCCUCCCAAGUAGCUGGGAUUACAGGCACCCGCCACCUGCCUGCUUUUUUUUUUUUUUUUUUUGUAUUUUUAGUAGAGAUGGGAUUUUGCCAUGUUGGCCAGGCUGGUCUCAAACUCGUGACCUCAUGUGAUCCGCCCACCUCGGCCUCCCAAAGUGCUGGGAUUACAGGCGUGAGCCACCGCGCCUGACCCAACACAAGUUUAAAAUGAAAGCUGUUAUCAGUAGAGAAUCUUCACCACGUUGGCACCAGCUCAAGUGUAGUGUCGGCGCACUUUUAGCUUAGAGUCAGAAAAAUAGACAUGUAUGAAAAUGCGUGGCAGGAGCCCUUCCAUAAAGCAAAUCUCUCUGUUGCAGUGGUUCUUAACAAGGUGUAAACGUUAUAACUACCUAUGGAACUUUUAAACCUGUAUGCCAGGCCCCAUCCAAACUUACUGACUCAAAAUCUCCGGGCAUCUGUUUUUUUGUUUGUUUUGAGAUAGAGUCUCACUCUGUCGCCAGGCUGGAGUGCAGUGGCGUGAUCUCGGCUCACUGCAAUCUUUGCCUCCCGGGUUCAAGCGAUUCUCCUGCCUCAGCCUCCCAAGUAGCUGGGAGGUGUGCACGCCACCACACCCCGGUAAUUUUUGUAUUUUUUGUAGAGAUGGGGUUUCACCAUAUUGGCAAGGAUGGUCUCAAUUUCCUGCGCUUGUGAUCCGCCCGCCUCAGCCUCCCCAAGUGCUGGGAUUCCAGGCGUGAGCCACGGCGCCCGGCCGGCAUCUGUAGAUUUUAAAAGGCCCCAGUGGUUCUGAUGCACACCCCCAGAAGAGAAACACAGCGUCUCUACACAGUACUGAGUCCCCAUCAAGGAGACAUUUAACAGAAACUCCUACUGACAUCCAUUGGUUCCUUGGGGAUUACUGACAAUGUAACAAAUCAAGACAGCAACUUCCCUGGCUGUGACCACCAACUGUGGAAAACAGCAGCUUGAUAGCUCAAUGCUGUGAUGGAGCCGUCCGGAAAACGACUCCUCAACAAUGAACCAAAAAGAGAAGUGGUGAUCUGUACACAAACGCCAGGAGUGACAAGAACCAGGUGCAGGAGUCCACUGGCUUUCCCAGCUCUCCUGGGUUGAGGACAGACGGCUGAACUGGCUGUGCUAUUUGGAGAUGGGCCCCACCGCCCCUUUUCAACUGUACGGCUCAGGCUGCUUAACCAUAGCAACUCCAUGGGCUGGGGUGGGGGCAUCUACAGGGCUUCCUGGGGGCUCUCCCGACUGCCGCCCCCCGCCCUUGUCUUAUUUGGAAUCUUUUCCUAAUAGACCUCAACUGAAGGCCGCAUCUCCUUCUCGCAACACUUCUUUUCUCCUCCGCAUUCUCAAAUUUGAGACGCUUGAUGCGUGAGAGUCAAACCAGCUAGCAAGGACAGCCUGGAAGCCGAUGAAGAAAUGACACUCAGGAUCAGAGCUGGACGGCAUCGGGGAGAAAGCCUGGCAGAGAGGGCAGGGGCACAGAGCAGUGGUUAUGUUGGGAAACAAGGUGGGGAUGAGGAAAUCAGGUUUCCAGGCAGAUUUCCAAACCUUAUUCCUACUGUACGGCUGUUACAAGUUUUAUGGAUUUUAAGGAAAUUUCCUCUAUCCUGAAAACUUUUUGAGAAGGGGUCUUGCUCUGUCACCCAGGCUGGAGUGCAGUGGUGAAAUCUUGGCUCACUGCAGCCUCCACCUCCCGGGUUUAAGUGAUUCUCCUGCCUCAGCCUCCCCAGUAGCUGGGAUUACAGGCACUCGCCAUGACACCCGGCUAAUUUUUUUUAUUUUUAGUUGAGACAGGGUUUCGCCAUGUUGGGCAGGCUGGUCUCGAAUUCCUGACCUCAGGUGAUCCACCUGCCUCAGCCUCCCAAAGUGCUGUGAUUACAGGCAUGAGCCACCACACCCAGCCAAUUUUUUGUAUUUUUGGUUUUGCCAGGUUGCCCAGACUGGUCUCAAACUCCUGAGCUCAAGCAAUCUGCCCACCUCAGCCUCCCUAGCAGUUGGGACUACAGGUGCAUGCCACCACACCUUGCAAAUUUUUAUUUUUGUAGACAUCUGUAUGUUGCCCAGGCUGGUCUCAAACUCCUGGACUCAAGUGAUCCUCCUGCCUUGGUCUCCCAAAGUGUUGCGACUACAGGCAUGAGCCGCCGUGCCUGGCAAGAUAUCAUUCUUCAGCAAAAGCAGGCAGCAACAGCAGCGGUUUGCCUGUAGCUGUGGUCAUGGUUAACUGAGGCCUGGUUUCAAGGGAACCGAGUGAAUCAGGGUUAACGGCUUGAUAUGCUGCCAUUCUCUGGAUGCAGGAUGACAUGAGAGGUCGGGAGCAGUCUCUUCGGCAAGCCCUGCUGCAGAGAGCCCGCGGUGGACAGGAAGGGCGGGGGGGGCGGGCAGGCUGCGUGCCAGGCCAGGCUCUCAGCCUGGUCUUUAAGGUCCAUAUUCUGUUCCUGAGGCAUCCAGAACCCCAGACUCCUUCUCAUAACACAGGAACACAUCACUGGGAUGCUGCACAUCACCUUUGCUAUUUCAGAUGACGCUGGAAAGUGCUGUGGACCUGAAGGUGAGUGGGCAGAAAGGGGUUUGAGAGUAUGGACUUCCUGGGCGUUCCCAUGGCUUCAUCUGAUGAGAAAACCUAGGAAACGUCUUCCAAGUGAACUUCCUGGUUUCCCUUCCCUAGAAACCAGGAGCAGGGUGGGAGUAAAGAAAUGGAGGAAGGGGCUGGGCUCGGUGGCUCACGCCUGUAAUCCGAUACUCAGGAGGCUGAGGC